rnacentral:rRNA from 1 species
GUAUUUGCCAUCCAUAACCAUGCAAGUCACUCCUUGAGAGAGGGGCAACUCACUCUAAGUGGCAAACGGUUGAGUAACGCGUAGAUAACCUGCCUUUGAAGAGGGGAUAACUGUCCGANAGGAUAGCUCAUACCCUAUAUUGCCUUUUGUCACUAAGGAAAAAGGUGAAAUCGAGGCUGUCACACGCUUCGGCUACAAAAGGGGUUCGCGUCCUAUCAAGUAAUUGGAGGGGAGAUGGACUACCAACCCAAUGAGGGGUAGCUGGUCUUAUAAGAUGAUCAGCCACAGUGGGACUGAGACACGGCCCUCACCCCUACGGGGAGCAGCAGUGUGGAAUCGAGGGCAAUGGGCACAAGCCUGACCACGCUAUGCCGCGUUGAUGGAAGAAUCCAGUCCGAGGUGUAAACCUUUGUCACAUGUGAAGAAGGGACUAGGGCCUAACACCUCCUGGUCUUGACGGUACCAGUAAUAGAACGGGACAGCUAACUACGUGCCAACACCCCAGGCAAU